ensembl:lncRNA
CUAAAACUAUUAAAAUCAUUUUUGAUAAUUGAAAAAAAGCUGAAAUAAUAAUAAUAAUAAUUAGUAGAGAAAAAAGAAAAGAAAAACAGUACUAAAAUGACCAAAACUAAAAUAAAAUAAUAAAACUAAAGCAAAAAUCUACAAAUAACAAAAUAUUCAAGGUAUAUGUAAAAAAAAAAAAAAAAAAAAAAAAAANNNNNNNNNNNNNNNNNNNNNNNNNNNNUAUAUAUAUAUAUAUAUAUAUAUAUAUAUAUAUAUAUAAUGUAUGUGUACCUGACACUUGAGAAAAACUGUUUCAUUUAAUUCUUUUUCAUUAUGACUCAAAUCUGUACUUAGCUGGCAAAAAAAAACAAAAAAAAAAACAAGCUAAAUACUACUUUGUAGUAUGCAUUUAGUAUUAUAUAAAUAAACAACAACAACAACAAAUGCUCCAAUAAACCCUCAACAUCACAUAGUGUACGACUCACAAACAACGCUGUGCUUUUAGUGAGUGAUGGGUCACUAUGAUUUUCUGGGCCGAGACCCACAAUGACCAUUUGUUUCCAUCCUAAGACAGCUUCUCAUCUCUCAGCCUUUGUAUACUCACUGAUUUACUAUCUCUCCUUUCACGCUGAAGCAUUUUUUCUUUUUCUUUUUUUCCUGGAAUGGCUUUGCAUGGGAUUUUGCCUUCUCUUUCAAAGAAACUUCUGAGUUUGAUGCCACCCGUGAAGUAUAUGUUGGCAAUAACUCAUGUACAAUUUCAGGGAAAUGGGCACGGAUGACUUCUGCCUCUCUCUCCAACCUGGUAGAGGGUCAUAAUGCAGAUGUCGAACAGAAGAACGACAUCAUCGUAAAAGAUGUAAGUGUAUCUGUGUCAUCCCUUUAGUGCUGGAGUGCAUCUGUCUGGGCCACUGGAAGGCGGGGGCAGAGUGGAGCACGCCAUUACACCCACUGAUGUCUUCUGAGUCGCAUUACUAUGGGAGAAUGAUCGAGGAGCGAGGCUGCCCUGAAAAUAGCCAUUGCUUGAUGGAUGUGUGGACCCAGGUGGCCACCUUUUCAGCUGGAGAUCAAGAGGGUGUAGUGAGGUCCACUCUUUGCCAGGGAGGUGAAAUAUCAGCUGGAAGCCUCAGAUCCAGUGCCUGAUUUGGAGACUCUCUCGGACAUCUUGGUUGAUCAUCCACUACGAAAGAGAGAGAAAGUGAGUGUUAACUCAAGCCCCAUCCAUCAACCCCCUAAAGAGCCACAAACCUUCAGAACCGUCCCGACUCCUGC